UAACACUUAUUUUACCUACAGGGAGACGCUCAGUAAACUUCCCUGCACACUCACGGAGAAAAAAUGUAGAUGAACUACAGAAGUUAAGAUUCAAUUACGAUGAUCCUUUUGGAGCACAUCCCAACAGUUCAGCUACUAAAACAUCGGUUGAGUCUUCUACAGAUUCUGCAACUAAUGAACCUAGUUCAAAAAACACAAGCCCUGAAGUGUUUUCUACAGUGAACAGUUCAGCUACUAAAACAUCGGUUGAGUUUUCUACGGAUUCUGCAACUAAUGAACCUCGUUCAAAAAACACAACCCCUGAAGUGUUUUCUCCCGAGUCUUCGAGUACUAGUACGAAACAAAUUAAUUCUUCUUCAAGUCUCCCAA